rnacentral:lncRNA from 1 species
UCAUUCUCCAGGACUUCAUCAUUCCAGCUUACUUGAUCUUCGAUCUUCUUCUUCCUUGGAGAACAAGUCAUGUUAUCGAUUGAGGAUUGAUCACUGAAUGUUGCUGCAGCAUCAAUCUGAGGGAUGAUAUUAUUUCUAGGGGACUUUGGUGAGUCCAAUAUUUUCAUGUCGACAAAUUCAUUUUCCUUCAUUUUCUUGAAGAAAACUUGGGAGAGUACAGCAUCCUGAUCGGCUUCAAUGGAUCCUCUAUUAUUAUUAUUAGACCCGUUGAUCUUGUCAGUGAUUGCUGUAGGUUUCUUGACGAUGACUUGAUAAUCAUCAUCAGCUUCAGGAUCUUGGUGGCCUUCCUUCAGAAUUGCUGCUGGCUCCAGCUGAAUUGGAACUGGCACAAGCUGUUUGGCGGUCACUUUCCUGGAAGAAUUUCCUGAUGGUGUUUCAAUGAUUUUCUUGGAUUCUGGUGAUGGACACAUGAAGUAGUUCAUGUCGAAAACACUUUUCGGAUUCAAACUCCUCUGUUUUCCUGAUAAAAUUUUCUUCUCAUCAGGAUUUUCCGGAAAAUCAAGAAACCUGGAAUCAGGAAGGAAUUCCCACUCUUCUUCGUAGUCCAUUUUUUUUCUUUUUUCCCUCUUGAGGAAAUUAAUCAAAGAGAGGGUUUUUGUAAGUGGGAUCUUUUGUAUUGUUGAUUUGAUGAAUUAUUGGAUCAAAGAUGGUGAGUUUUGUAUGUUUGUUUAGGUGGAAUUUCGAGAAGUAAGAGCUAGCAAGGCCACCACCAAGGGUGUCCUAAUGACUAAUUCAAUCACAGAUUGAAGUUGAAGCCAUUAAGUGAGAAAAUUAUGAGGGAGUUUGAUUGAGAG